UACGUAGGGUGCAAGCGUUGUCCGGAAUUAUUGGGCGUAAAGAGCUCGUAGGCGGUCUGUCGCGUCGGCUGUGAAAACCCGGAGCUCAACUCCGGGCCUGCAGUCGAUACGGGCAGACUGGAGUUCGGCAGGGGAGACUGGAAUUCCUGGUGUAGCGGUGAAAUGCGCAGAUAUCAGGAGGAACACCGGUGGCGAAGGCGGUGGUCUGGGCCGACACUGACGCUGUAGAGCGAAAGCGUGGGGAGCGAACAGG
rnacentral:rRNA from 1 species